CGCAAGGGGGAGACUUAAGCUCUGCGAGGGGAAAAAAAAAAAAGUCUGCUGCUAUUUCUACAGUCAGGGCCUCCCCACAGCCCGCCCUUCCAUAGACGGAGCUUUUUUUUUCACUCACUACUAGCUGGAUUUUAACCCUCUGCCUCCAACUAGCUGCACAGCAGCUCUGCAAAACCUGGCAACAAGUUGCUUUUAGGGGCCUUUUCGCACUUUUGGCGCAUUGAUUUUUGCACCACUUUGGAUUUGGCCGCUGUUUUUUCCAUUCUUUUGUAUUUUGUUUCCUAAAAAUGUGCCGCGUCUUGAUAUUUUUUUCCUCCGCUGAUGGGUUUCUAGUAGUAUUUAUUUAGUUUCUCCCUUUUUGGAUGGAAAUUCGUCAAGGUGGUGUUUCGCCAUGUGAUGGGCCUUGUUCCACCUGGAGUGUCGGGGCGCCAUUUCUGACGGGUAACCUACUCGGGGUGGGCUUGUGGUCUGGAUGACCACUGUGGAUGUCAAGCAGAGAGUGUGACCAGUAUCUGAGCACGAGAUGUGGAUCAAAAGCGGGAAGAGCUGCCAAAUUUCGCAUCCUGUCCGGACAUUUACCAUCUUUGCUCUGAAAAAUCGGCAGUGAGAUGGGUUUUGACUCCAGCCACAGGCACAAACAAUUUGGCCAACAAGUGAAAUCACGUACAGACAGACUGGCGAUCGCAGCAGCAUUAAGUAGCAGAUUUUCGCUCUGGGAUUUUCAGAUGAAGGCUACCUGACAUGUUGCUGAAAUCGCUACAGAGCCAGGUGAGAAACAUUAAAAACAGCAGCAGCUGCGGCCCUCUGCUGCGCACAUGUGGGCCAGGAUAUGAGCUAGCAUGAGCUCUCCCACUGUCAACACUGGUCACUAUUGUUAACACUCUCCUCUCUGAAGCACAAAAUCAGUACUGAGGAAAGAAAGGGAAGGCAUGGUGGAAUCAGUAUUUACAGUUUAUUGCAAUGUAUUCUAUGUUGGGAGCUGUCAUGCUUAACUUUAGGACAGUGGUUCCCAAUCGUUUUGAUGUGUGACUCUUUAAAGGUCCAGUGUGUUGGAU